rnacentral:rRNA from 1 species
AAGGUGGCUUUUGGGCUGUCGCAGAUGGAUGAGCCUGCGUUGGAUUAGCUAGUUGGUGGGGUAAGGGCCUACCAAGGCUACGAUCCAUAGCUGAUUUGAGAGGAUGAUCAGCCACAUUGGGACUGAGACACGGCCCAAACUCCUACGGGAGGCAGCAGUGAGGAAUAUUGGACAAUGGGGGCAACCCUGAUCCAGCAAUGCCAUGUGUGUGAAGAAGGCCUUAGGGUUGUAAAGCACUUUAGUUGGGGAAGAAAGCUUUGAGGUUAAUAGCCUUGAGGAAAAGGACGUUACCCAAAGAAUAAGCACCGGCUAACUCCGUGCCAGCAGCCGCGGUAAUACGGGGGGUGCAAGCGUUAAUCGGAAUUACUGGGCGUAAAGGGUCUGUAGGUGGUUUGUUAAGUCAGAUGUGAAAGCCUAGGGCUCAACCUUGGAACUGCAUUUGAUACUGGUAAACUAGAGUACGGUAGAGGAAUGGGGAAUUUCUGGUGUAGCGGUGAAAUGCGUAGAGAUCAGAAGGAACACCAAUGGCGAAGGCAACAUUCUGGACCGAUACUGACACUGAGGGACGAAAGCGUGGGGAUCAAACAGGAUUAGAUACCCUGGUAGUCCACGCUGUAAACGAUGAGUACUAGCUGUUGGAGUCGGUGUAAAGGCUCUAGUGGCGCAGCUAACGCGAUAAGUACUCCGCCUGGGGACUACGGCCGCAAGGCUAAAACUCAAAGGAAUUGACGGGGACCCGCACAAGCGGUGGAGCAUGUAGUUUAAUUCGAUGCAACGCGAAGAACCUUACCUGGUCUUGACAUCCUGCGAUCUUUCUAGAGAUAGAUUGGUGCCUUCGGGAACGCAGUGACAGGUGCUGCACGGCUGUCGUCAGCUCGUGUUGUGAAAUGUUGGGUUAAGUCCCGCAACGAGCGCAACCCCUAU